AAAAUGUCGGUUAUUGAUUUGGGGAUGUACGGGGGGCGGCCAGGCGGGCGGGCGGCAACCAAAUAUUGUCCGUGCAUUUACUCAUGAAGCGUUCAACCAAACCUUUUAAAAUUUUAAUAUGUUGUUACUGACAACAAAAUGGAGGUCAAGUUCAAUAAUGACGAUUUUGACUUUUACCGUUCAGGAGUUACGGUUCUUGAAAGUUUAAAAAAUGUUGUGUCCGUGCAUUUACUCAUGAACCGUUCAACCAAACCUUUUAAAAUUUUAAUAUGUUGUUACUGACAACAUAACCAAGGUCAAGUUCAAUAUGACGAUUUUUACUUUUACCGUUCAGGAGUUACAGUUCUUGAAAGUUUAAAAAAUGUCAUGUCCGUGCAUUUACUCAUGAACCAGUCAACCAAACCUUUUAAAAUUUUAAUAUGUUGUUACUGACAACAAAAUGGAGGUCAAGUUCAAUAAUGACGAUUUUGACUUUUACCAUUCAGGAGUUACGGUUCUUGAAAGUUUAAAAAAUGUUGUGUCCGUGCAUUUACUCAUGAACCGUUCAACCAAACCUUUUAAAAUUUCCUAUUAGGAGUUUUGGUCCUUGUAAUAUUGAUAAAUGCCAGAACACAAAUAAAUGUUAAAGAAUCCGGUUUACUGUCAUUUUGACAGCCCUUGUCUA
rnacentral:lncRNA from 1 species